rnacentral:rRNA from 1 species
AGUCGAGGGGUAACAGAGAGUGCUUGCACUUUGCUGACGACCGGCGCACGGGUGCGUAACGCGUAUAGAAUCUACCUUUUAGUGAGGGAUAGCCCAGAGAAAUUUGGAUUAAUACCUCAUAGUAUCAAUGAAUAGCAUUAUUUAUUGAUUAAAGAUUUAUUGCUAAAAGAUGACUAUGCGUUCUAUUAGCUAGUUGGUAUGGUAACGGCAUACCAAGGCUACGAUAGAUAGGGGUCCUGAGAGGGAGAUCCCCCACACUGGUACUGAGACACGGACCAGACUCCUACGGGAGGCAGCAGUGAGGAAUAUUGGACAAUGGAGGCAACUCUGAUCCAGCCAUGCCGCGUGUAGGAAGACUGCCCUAUGGGUUGUAAACUACUUUUAUAGAGGAAGAAACCGCUCUACGUGUAGAGCUCUGACGGUACUCUACGAAUAAGGAUCGGCUAACUCCGUGCCAGCAGCCGCGGUAAUACGGAGGAUCCAAGCGUUAUCCGGAAUCAUUGGGUUUAAAGGGUCCGUAGGCGGUUUAGUAAGUCAGUGGUGAAAGUUUUCGGCUCAACCGGAAAAUUGCCAUUGAUACUGCUAGACUUGAAUUAUUGUGAAGUGGUUAGAAUGUGUAGUGUAGCGGUGAAAUGCAUAGAUAUUACACAGAAUACCGAUUGCGAAGGCAGAUCACUAACAAUAUAUUGACGCUAAGGGACGAAAGCGUGGGUAGCGAACAGGAUUAGAUACCCUGGUAGUCCACGCCGUAAACGAUGGUUACUAGCUGUUCGAACUUCGGUUUGAGUGGCUAAGCGAAAGUGAUAAGUAACCCACCUGGGGAGUACGUUCGCAAGAAUGAAACUC